rnacentral:rRNA from 1 species
UACAGAGGUCCCAAGCGUUGUUCGGAUUCACUGGGCGUAAAGGGUGCGUAGGUGGCUUGGUAAGUUCGAUGUGAAAUCUCCGGGCUUAACCCGGAAAUGGCAUUGAAUACUAUUGAGCUGGAGGUUUGGAGGGGGACUGGAAUUCUCGGUGUAGCAGUGAAAUGCGUAGAUAUCGAGAGGAACACCAGUGGCGAAGGCGGCAUCCUGGCCAUGUCCUGACGCUCAGGGCGAAAGCGUG